CUUUCAAUUUUCGACGAUCGCAUCGCAAAAUAAUAGUUUCGAAAAAAUCACUUUUAAGGCUUUAAGUUAGAUCUAAAUCAGUCGAGUUACAAUAAAAAUAUAGCGGUCUUUACUUUGAUAAUAACUUAAAUUUUGAGAAAUCCUUCUAACGAGAUAUUUUGGAACAUCUUUAAUAAUAGGAAUAAAUACAAAAAAAUAUUUAUUUUAAAAUGUUAGACUAGAACAGUCCGUUAAGAAUCAAAUGCUCAUAUUAAAACAUUAUUAGGCUGUUCACGGUAAGGUGGUUAUCGGGUUAUGUGCUUAUUAGAUUGAAAAUAACCUCUAUGCUCCGUGAGCACCCUAUGUUAUAUGGUUAUUUGCUUAUUUUUACUAAACAGCUGUUCAUUGUUUACAAUUUUAGUUCAAUGAAAUUCCUACUUAUAAAAUGCCUAAAGAAAGUUUAAAAAGCAAAAUAAUCGAUUUUAAAAUAAGUUCUGCUAUUCAGGAAAUGGACUUUAUUGAAGACAUCUUGCGCCCUGAAGAGUGUCAUAAUGCAAUGGAUGAAGUACUAGAUGAACUGCUAGAGGACAUAACUUUAAUCAUCUGUAGUAGACGGGGAGAUGAACUACAUGUUCCAAAAUCUAUUCAUUGGCGAGAAAAUGUUCUGUGUUGCUUUGACGAUGGAAGAUUUUUACAAAUGCUGCGCGUCAGCAAAUGACAAUUCGCUCAUCUCCUAGAAAUAUUUUCUAAUGAUAUGAACUUUACUAAUUCAAGUUUACAAAUACCUGUAGAUUUGCAACUCGCAAUCGUAUUGCUCCGAUUAGGUUCAUCGGGUGAAAGUGCUUCUAUACGUAAAAUCGCUACAACUUUUGGUGUGGGAGAUGGAGGUACAUUGACCAAUAUCACCAAAAGAGUUUUUUCGGCAAUUUUGAAUAAACUACACCAAUUCAUUCAUUGGCCUGGACCGGCAGAGCGCCGGGAACUUGUUUUCCAAACAUUCUGCGAAUUACCAUAUUGCAUUGGUUACAUUGACGGUAGCGAGAUUAAACUGGCCGAAAAGCCGAAUAAAAAUCAUGAGGUGUAUUUUUCUCGACAACGAAUAUACUCUAUCAAAUUGCAAGUCGUAUGUGACCAUAAGUUACGCAUAUUACAUGCAGAAGUGGGCAAUCCUGGAAGCUACCACGAUUCUAAAGUGUUUAGGAAAUCUCAUAUUGGAAGAAACACAACUAGCUUAUUUAGUGGAGAAGAGUGGAUUGCAGGGGAUUCUGCGUAUAAGUUGACAAAACAUUUAAUAACACCAUACCGAAGCAAUUCUUCUUUAGCAGACUCUGAAAGACAAGCUAAAUUCAACAAAAUACAUAGCCAGUAUCGUGUUAGAGUCAAAAAUUGUUUCGGUAUUCUUAAAGAAAAGUUUUGUAGUUUGAAACAAAUGCGGAUUAAAAUAAAAGACCGUGAAAGUCAAACAUUUUUUAAUAAA